UACGGAAGGGGGCUAGCGUUGCUCGGAAUGACUGGGCGUAAAGGGCGCGUAGGCGGAUUGUACAGUCAGGCGUGAAAUUCCCGGGCUCAACCUGGGGGCUGCGCUUGAGACGUGCGAUCUUGAGUGGGGAAGAGGGUCGUGGAAUUCCCAGUGUAGAGGUGAAAUUCGUAGAUAUUCGCAAGAACACCGGUGGCGAAGGCGGCCAACUGGACCAUUACUGACGCUGAGGCGCGAAAGCGUGGGGAGCAAACAGG
rnacentral:rRNA from 1 species